UCCAGAAAUCCCACCCGCUGCCCUCGCAGCCACCCCACGACCACCGAUUUGCCUUCGUAUCUGACGCCCGCCGCCACCUCCAUGGCGCGUCCGAGUUAAGUGCUCUUUGCCGGACGAGUUUGGGUGCUCUUUCCAACGCUGGAGGAUCUUUGUACCUGUAGAUACCUACGUCCCUGCCAUUUUUCAUGGUGCAUAACCUACACCACCCCCAUCAGUGGAACCUUUGCCGACGCUAGAAGAGAUGAGAUUCAGUUGUCUACUUUGUUUUCUGGCAAGGAUGAUGUCGCGCAUGCCUCUUUUACGAUACUGGUCGAUAGCAGAGAUGAGUUCUUCUGCAAGAAGGUGCUCGAUAAGGUUGUACAAUGAGGAGUCCAAUGACGACUUGUUGAUGGUGUCUGCAUUCUCAUUUAUGAGCACAAUGUCGCAGAUUCCGGAGUAUCAUGGUUUAGUCAAGGGAUGUGCUAGGGCCUUGGACUGGAAAAUAAAAGGCGGUCAUCUGUAAAUCUUCGGGGACUACUUCCACCGCACGAAACAUAUGUACACUCCGGCUAUGCUUCGAUGUCGUUUUAGGAUGUCAAGACCUUUGUUCCGAAGGCUCAUGGAUGGAGUCAAGACUUAUCAAGACUACUUUUUCUACAAAGAGAAUGUCAUUUGAAAGAAAUUCUACACAGGAAAUAUUCUCGGAAUUGGACGAAACAAAAGCCCACGGCCCUAUUUUCCACGGAGUGUUCCAGAACAUCGAAGAAGAGUCGGAGACGGCCAGCAGGGGCUACCCCAUAGGGCGGCGCGGCCCCACCUCCUGCCGCGCCCAGGUGUGGGGAGGCCACCCCCUGGCUCCCCCGACGCUGCCUCUUUGCCUAUAUAUUCCUUCGUAUCGGAAAACCCUAGUACCGAGAGCCAAAAUACGAGAAAAGUUCCAGAGACGCCGCCGCCGUCAACCCCAUCUCGGGGGGUUCUGAAGAUCACCUCCGGCACCCUGCCGGAGAGAGGAAUCAU